rnacentral:rRNA from 1 species
UGGGGAAUUUUCCGCAAUGGGCGAAAGCCUGACGGAGCAACACCGCGUGAGGGAAGACUGCCUAUGGGUUGUAAACCUCUUUUUUCAGGGAGGAAUAAAAUGACGUGUAACUGAAGAAUAAGCAUCGGCUAACUCCGUGCCAGCAGCCGCGGUAAGACGGAGGAAGCAAGUGUUAGCCGGAAUCACUGGGCGGAACGCGUCUGUCGGAGGUUUAAAAAGUCAACUGUAAAAUCUUGGGGGUCAACUUCG